CCGCUUCCGCUUCCGGGAGAGGCGGCCGCAAUGGCGGUGCUCGCGUCCAACCCCAACAAUCCCGCGGUCUUUUUCGAUGUCGCUCUCGGCGGGCAGCCACUCCACAGAACUCUGUGCUUCCAGGGGACAAUAAAUGACCAAGAGAAACCUAUUCCUGCAAGCACCAGCUUGGGGAAGGCUGCUCUGUCACUGGAGAGGUGUUCCCACCUCUCCUGAUUAAGUGACCAUGGCUAAGGGCAUCCUGUCAGCACACAAGCCCUUCCCUUGGCUCUCCAGAUUUCCCCCUCGCUUUGACACCAGCUGAUGUGGAUCAGAACCUGGUAGCUAACCUGCUCGAAUGCUACAGUGCUCAAUCUGGACUGGCAGGACCCACCGCUAACCUUUACAGAGCAUGGGAGUAUGUUUACCUGAAAAUGCAGGUCAUAUUGGCUCUAACGAUUAAGCAACAGAAUAAAAGGCUGUCUUAAUGCAGAAACCAUGGCUGAUUGAGAAAUGAAGCACAGAAGAAACUAGCAGUAUUUGGAAUAAGAGACAAAAGAUGACAAAUAUCUGGUAAAAUGCUCCAGUACAGCAUCACAAAUAUGCAUGGAAUGGAAGUGGUUGAAGGGUAUGAUGGCUAUGCUACCUCCAUAUUUGUCCUCCCAUCACUGUUGUCUAAGUUACUUUGUCAACAGUUUAAGGAAAGUACUGGCAAGUUGGACAGGGACUUGAGACGGACACAAGAAUUAAGAAGUCUAAAGAUGCUGUUGAAGUUCAAGGCGUUUGGACUGCAGAGAGCAGCUUCACAGUGGAGACCUUGAAGACUCUGGAAUUGCUCACAAGACAAUUUGCCAUCGAAGAACAAGCAUUUCCAUGCUGCCUCUUCCACUGCUUUGAAGUAACAUAUGAGGUGUUUCUGCUUUCAAGUUUGAAAGAGUAUUUUUAGUGAAAGAAGCCUGAU